ACAGUCAGGGAAAAGUCGCGGUUUCACCCAUGGAGCACGCAGGAGAGAAGCUUGCAGUACAGCGGGGUUCGGGGCUCAGACCAUGGGAGCCUGCAGGACCCGAGCUGUGCCUCAGAGCCGUGCGAGGUCUGGACUCUGCCUCGGGAAUUGGAGUUCUCCGGAGUAAAACCCACGAAGAGCACCACAGGAGGCUGCGGGAUCUGGGGAAGCCCUGCUCCCCGGGAUCCCACGGAGACUUCCAGGAGCGUGGAAUCGAUGGACAGACUGACGGACACAAAGGCCAGGCUCUGGGAGGCUGUAACUGAGAUCUGGCAGCUCUCGCUCUGUGCCAAUGACUGGCUGCGUAACCGAACUCAGGCCUCACAUGAGAGACGCUUGCUCUCACAUCGUUCAAGGGAGAAGCUUGCCCUGAUAGUAUCUACGGAUUGACAUCCCGAUACCAACACCUUCCAUGCUCACACCGCACCCCCGGGUGCCCCUCACUUCCUCUGCAUGGCUGGGCGGCCUCUCACAGCUGUGUUCCCUCAUUCCACCUGCGAGUGGGGAAAAAUCAAUAUUUUCGAGGAAUGAAUGGACAUGUCUUUCUCUGUCAGGUGAGCCUACUUAAGGAAACAACUCAAGUCAGAAGAAAUCUUGGCUACUGAAGCUUAGGAUGAGCCAAGCUGGAAACACCUCCAGUCCGUGUUCGAGGCAGCAGAGGGGUCACGUGACCGGCGCACCUCCGCUUCUCCUAGGGCUUCCGUUUUGUUUUGUUUUUUCCCCCCCAAAGCUGUGGGGGUAGAAUGACCCUUUCACAGGGGUCACGUAAGAUAAUCGGAAAACACAGAUACUUAUGUUACAAUUCAUAACAGUAGCAAAAUUACAGUUAUCAAAAAGCAAUGAAA
rnacentral:lncRNA from 1 species